UGCAGGCAAGAAGGCUGAUAGGAGAAACCAUUUUCAGGCAACAAGACUUUUUGCAGGAAAUUUGUGUAAAAACAAGGAAAACCGAGAGGCUGUCAAGCAUCACGAAACUACCGGCUCUAGGUCUUAUCCUGCCCAUUUCCACCAACUUG